rnacentral:lncRNA from 1 species
GUUGAAUGGUUUGCUUCGUCUGUCCUAUCUUUAUUUCUUGAUUUCUCUUCUAAGUUGCAAACAAUAGUUGAAACCUUCCCGGUAAGUGCUCCAACAUGUGCUAAUGGAUCAAAUAAUUUUUCAUGAUAAUUAGAUUCCUUUGGCACGUCUGUAACCGAACUACAGUACAAUUGCUAUGUACUAAAGAUUUUUCUGUCUAGAUCCACUCAAUCCACUUUUGGGGUGGAGAGAAAGAUCCACUAAACCAUUCAUGGAAUUUUGUCCCUCUUGGCUAUGGGUUGCUAUCCAAUACAAGUAGUCUUAACAAGCAAAACUCAUCAGCAGCAAGCAAAUCCAUGCAAAAAGUGAAACGCUAGCUUCUACAAUCACGGUAUGCAUGUAUUACUAGAUUUGUAGCAAAUAGGACAAGAAGAAAAAAACC